rnacentral:rRNA from 1 species
GACGAAGGAUGCAAGCGUUAUCCGGAUUCAUUGGGUUUAAAGGGUGCGUAGGCGGACUGAUAAGUCAGUGGUGAAAUCUCUUUGCUUAACAAAGAAACUGCCAUUGAUACUGUCGGUCUAGAGUAUAGAUGACGUUGGCGGAAUAUGACAUGUAGUGGUGAAAUACUUAGAUAUGUCAUAGAACACCGAUUGCGAAGGCAGCUAACGAAACUAUAACUGACGCUGAGACGCGAAAGCGUGGGGAGCAAACAGG